rnacentral:rRNA from 1 species
UACGGAGGGGGCUAGCGUUAUCCGGAAUUAUUGGGCGUAAAGGGCGCGUAGGCGGCCCGGUAAGUCAAAGGUGAAAUCCCUCGGCUCAACUGAGGAACUGCCUUUGAAACUGUCGGGCUUGAGGCCGGGAGGGGGUAGCGGAAUUCCCAGUGUAGCGGUGAAAUGCGUAGAUAUCGGGAGGAACACCAGUGGCGAAGGCGACUACCUGGCCUGUUCUUGACGCUGAGGCGCGAAAGCUAGGGGAGCAAACGGG